rnacentral:lncRNA from 1 species
AAUAAUUACAGUCAGAAUCCGUAGUUUGAGUACAUAAAAAAAAUUCUUAUCCUGGUAUUCAUUCUGAGGAUGACAACCAUAGAACCAGGACAGGGAAUUAUGCUGUUUGUAUUAUUUUGGACUGCAAUAAUUUCUGUACACAAGAUAGGGGUAGUACUGUGAGGAGGAGGAGAAAAGAUUGUUGAUGGGUUUAAAGCUUAUUUUGUGAAUAUCUCUCGUUGUAAAAUUCGUGUAACUUCUAUGCCCCAUGUCUUCUUUGAGAACACUUAUUUCUUUGAUUCUCUGUAGCAGAAAGGAGAACUUCCACCAGGAAGAACAGUUGUCACCAGCUCAAACAGUUCAUUCCGAGAUCCUGACAUAGAGAUGGAGCUCAAUGAGUUGAGACAAAAGAGAAAGAACUUUUAGAGUAGGUGAAACUACAAUAUUGGAUCAGGUCUUGUUUUGCCAGCAAAUUACUGUGUAAAGGCCAAUAGAAAAUCACUGUAUAGUUGAGCCAAACUAAAAUAAAACAAGUUUUGUUGAAUGGGUUCGAUGUUACACACCUUGUCACCUUGCAGUUGUAAUAUAUAUAUACAUAUAUAUAUAUGAGAGAUGAUUUCUGCAGAUGCCACCCUAGCCGGAGGGUGAACUGUGGCCAU